rnacentral:rRNA from 1 species
UGCAAGUCGAACGAUGAAGCUGGAGCUUGCUCCGGCCGAUUAGUGGCGAACGGGUGAGUAACACGUGAGCAAUCUGCCCUUGACUCUGGGAUAACUGCGGGAAACUGUAGCUAAUACCGGAUACUUUCCUCGCUGGGCAUCCAGCGGGGAAGAAAGAAUUUCGGUCAAGGAUGAGCUCGCGGCCUAUCAGCUAGUUGGUGAGGUAAAGGCUCACCAAGGCGACGACGGGUAGCCGGCCUGAGAGGGUGACCGGCCACACUGGAACUGAGACACGGUCCAGACUCCUACGGGAGGCAGCAGUGGGGAAUAUUGCACAAUGGGCGAAAGCCUGAUGCAGCAACGCCGCGUGAGGGAUGAAGGCCUUCGGGUUGUAAACCUCUUUUAGCAGGGAAGAAGCGAAAGUGACGGUACCUGCAGAAAAAGCACCGGCUAACUACGUGCCAGCAGCCGCGGUAAUACGUAGGGUGCAAGCGUUGUCCGGAAUUAUUGGGCGUAAAGAGCUCGUAGGCGGUUUGUCACGUCUGCUGUGAAAAUCCGAGGCUCAACCUCGGACUUGCAGUGGGUACGGGCAGGCUAGAGUGCGGUAGGGGAGAAGGGAAUUCCUGGUGUAGCGGUGGAAUGCGCAGAUAUCAGGAGGAACACCAAUGGCGAAGGCACUUCUCUGGGCCGUAACUGACGCUGAGGAGCGAAAGCGUGGGGAGCGAACAGGAUUAGAUACCCUGGUAGUCCACGCCGUAAACGGUGGGUGCUAGCUGUGGGCCACAUUCCA